CAAUAGCGUAUAUUAAAGUUGUUGCAGUUAAAAAGCUCGUAGUUGGAUUUCUGGAUGGAGCGACCGGUCGGGCAUUAAUUUGUCUGCACUGGAGUCGGUUCCGUCCAUCCUCUUGGAAAGUGCGUCGGGCAUUAAGUUGUUUGGCGUAUGAUCCAAGUCGUUUACUGUGAAAAAAUUAGAGGGUUUAAAGCAGGCCUUCGCCUUGAAUACAUUAGCAUGGAAUAAUAAGAUAGGACUUUGGUCUAUUUUGUUGGUUUGCAGACCGAAGUAAUGAUUAAUAGGGAUAGUUGGGGGUAUUUAUAUUCCGAUGUCAGAGGUGAAAUUCUUAGAUUUUCGGAAGAUAAACUUAUGCGAAAGCAUUUACCAAGGAUGUUUUCAUUAA
rnacentral:rRNA from 1 species